UCCUAACAUUACGUGUAACAUUCACAACAUAAAAGCAUAGUUGUAAGCAUGUAAACACAAAUCAACUAUAAUCAAAUAAUCAAUAGCAUAAGUCGCUUAUGGCCAACUGUAACUAUGAAUGAUGAUGUUAGUUCUAAAAUGUCUGUUAAGCAAAAUUUACAUUCAUGGAUGAAAGCGGCCUUCAUUCGAUGGUAGUAAAGAGAGAACCCAUCUGCAAAAUAAAG
rnacentral:misc_RNA from 1 species